UACGUAGGGUCCGAGCGUUGUCCGGAAUUACUGGGCGUAAAGAGCUCGUAGGUGGUUUGUCGCGUUGUUCGUGAAAACUCACAGCCUAACUGUGGGCGUGCGGGCGAUACGGGCAGACUAGAGUACUGCAGGGGAGACUGGAAUUCCUGGUGUAGCGGUGGAAUGCGCAGAUAUCAGGAGGAACACCGGUGGCGAAGGCGGGUCUCUGGGCAGUAACUGACGCUGAGGAGCGAAAGCGUGGGGAGCGAACAGG
rnacentral:rRNA from 1 species